AUGAGGAACAAAGCCGGUAUGAGGAGGUCGUGUCGCCCAGGGAGCAACCCAAUCCCCGGAAGAAGGAAGAUCACAGGGCAGAGGGGAGCACGCGUACCUCCUGCAGUACCCUCGGACUCAUCAUCUGGAGCACAGAGUGAAAGGAGGGUGCUCGGUUGCUCAUCUAAGUCAUUUAGUUUACCCAUCACUGCCUAAAAUAGCCUCAAGUCAGCGUGACGCAUGCACUGCUCUGCCGUGGCCCACAUAGCAUAUGUUGCUGUUCGAGCUGUGAGCCCUCUCUUCUUCUCCCCGCAUCCAGCAGCCGUCACCUUCCUCCUCGUUGCUGCCGCGGCCUGACCCAGCCUCGUGGUCCCGCGGCACCAGCGGAUGGAGCGCCUUGUGCCCUGGGCAGGGACACAGCCAGAAGGUCCUGAAGCACACAACUUCAGAGAUUUUCCACUUAGAGAAAAAAAAAAAAUGAAUAUAUACCAGGUAAAUACGCCGAUGGAUAUGCAACCUUGGGACACUUCUGCGAUGUGACUAAUCCUGCGCAUGCUGUGACUCAGCUGCUGAAGCCUAUUAUCAGAAAAGGUCCCAGAGCUCCCAGUUAUAAACCAAUAAAUAAAACAGCUUGUUUUCCGUAACA
rnacentral:lncRNA from 1 species